AGGUUUCCGUAGGUGAACCUGCGGAAGGAUCAUUAAUGAAUUCACUAUGGAGUUGUUGCUGGCCUCUAGGGGCAUGUGCACGCUUCACUAGUCUUUCAACCACCUGUGAACUUUUGAUAGAUCUGUGAAGUCGUCUCUCAAGUCGUCAGACUUGGUUGCUGGGAUUUAAACGUCUCGGUGUGACUACGCAGUCUAUUUACUUACACACCCCAAAUGUAUGUCUACGAAUGUCAUUUAAUGGGCCUUGUGCCUUUAAACCAUAAUACAACUUUCAACAACGGAUCUCUUGGCUCUCGCAUCGAUGAAGAACGCAGCGAAAUGCGAUAAGUAAUGUGAAUUGCAGAAUUCAGUGAAUCAUCGAAUCUUUGAACGCACCUUGCGCCCCUUGGUAUUCCGAGGGGCAUGCCUGUUUGAGUGUCAUUAAAUUCUCAAACUCACUUUGGUUUCUUUCCAAUUGUGAUGUUUGGAUUGUUGGGGGCUGCUGGCCUUGACAGGUCGGCUCCUCUUAAAUGCAUUAGCAGGACUUCUCAUUGCCUCUGCGCAUGAUGUGAUAAUUAUCACUCAUCAAUAGCACGCAUGAAUAGAGUCCAGCUCUCUAAUCGUCCGCAAGGACAAUUUGACAAUUUGACCUCAAAUCAGGUAGGACUACCCGCUGAACUUAAGCAUAUCAAUAAGCGGAGGAAAAGAAACUAACAAGGAUUCCCCUAGUAACUGCGAGUGAAGCGGGAAAAGCUCAAAUUUAAAAUCUGGUGGUCUUUGGCCAUCCGAGUUGUAAUCUAGAGA
rnacentral:rRNA from 1 species